UGGGGGAUAUUGCACAAUGGGCGAAAGCCUGAUGCAGCGACGCCGCGUGGGGGAUGAAGGCCUUCGGGUUGUAAACUUCUUUUGCUCUGAACAAGGCAUGCUAAUGGGUGUGUUGAGUGUAGGGGUUGAUUAGCGCCGGCUAACUACGUGCCAGCAGCCGCGGUAAUACGUAGGGCGCGAGCGUUGUCCGGAAUUAUUGGGCGUAAAGGGCUUGUAGGUGGCUGGUUGCGUCUGUCGUGAAAGCUCAUGACUUAACUGUGGGUUUGCGGUGGGUACGGGCUGGCUUGAGUGCAGUAGGGGAGGCUGGAAUUCCUGGUGUAGCGGUGGAAUGCGCAGAUAUCAGGAGGAAUACCGGUGGCGAAGGCGGGUCUCUGGGCUGUUACUGACACUGAGGAGCGAAAGCAUGGGGAGCGAACAGG
rnacentral:rRNA from 1 species